rnacentral:rRNA from 1 species
CCUACGGGUGGCAGCAGUGAGGAAUAUUGGUCAAUGGUCGGGAGACUGAACCAGCCAAGCCGCGUGAGGGAGGAAGGUACAGAGUAUCGUAAACCUCUUUUGUCAGGGAACAAAGGCGGGGACGUGUCCCCGGAUGAGUGUACCUGAAGAAAAAGCAUCGGCUAACUCCGUGCCAGCAGCCGCGGUAAUAGGGAGGAUGCGAGGGUUAUCCGGAUUUAUUGGGUUUAACGGGUGCGCAGGCGGUCUGUUAAGUCAGCGGUAAAAGCCCGGGGCUCAACCCCGGCCCGCCGUUGAAACUGGCAGUCUCGAGUUGGAGAGAAGUAUGCGGAAUGCGCGGUGUAGCGGUGAAAUGCAUAGAUAUCGCGCAGAACUCCGAUUGCGAAGGCAGCAUGCCGGCUCCACACUGACGCUGAGGCACGAAAGCGUGGGUAUCGAACAGGAUUAGAUACCCCUGUAGUC